GUUCUUUAAUUGUUCCUGUUCAUAAGGAAAUAUUUGUUGCGACAUUUUUCAUACAAAAACAGCGUAUUCUUUAACGUUGACACGUUUUGCAUUGAUACAAUAUUUGACACAGUUGCAAGGGAGGACGUUUACAACGAGGGGAAAGUAAAGACCCCAAAAAUAAAAGACAUUUAAACGCCACAACAACAAAAAAGUCGUCCAUACAAGUAAUAAUGCCACUAGACUGUCUGUUGUAGGGAAAAGACCAACCACGCCAAAAAAAAAACACACCUCUUGUUGUUUCACAAAAUGGCUCUCUAUUCCCUUUCAAGUACACUGCACUAUACAGGGCCCUAUUCCCUAGUACACUGCACUACACAGGGAGCCAUUUAGGACACACUAUUAGAGAAGGUUCUAGCAGGAUCUAUAAAAUUAGAGGGGAGGGGCUUUAACUUUAUACACAUUUUUUUUUUAUUUUAAAAAGGAAGUUAAACUACAUUUAAAAUCCCACUACAGCACCAGGACAGUGUUACACUAGAAUCAGUCAAGUGGCAUUGGGGGUUUAAGAGACACUUAAUGAUGGUUCACGAUGAACGGGUCACGGAGGCAACAUUUUUUUUACAGUUAAAACUAAACCGGUUUGGCACCGGUAACAGACAGUGAGGGGGAAAGAUUUCAGACUCGGUGACAGUAACUAGGAGGUCGUGGAACAACGAGCCUGGCCUGGUGUUCGAGAUGAUACAACGUAGAAAAUACACACCACACCAUGACACGAUUCCCUCUUCUACAGAACAAAGAAGCGCAUCAAAUCUAGAUAGUGUAUUUCUAGAUGAAUAUUCUAUAACGUUGAUCCUCAUGGAACACAGACCCUGGCUGUGAACCAAAUGGCCCCCAUUCCCCUAUAUAGAGCACUAGUUUUGACCAGAGCGCUAUUGACCCUGGUUAAGAGUAGUGGAACAGAGAUCAGGCUGUGAACCAAAUGGCCCCAUUCCCCUAUAUAGAGCACUAGUUUUGACCAGAGCGCUAUUGACCCUGCUUAAGAGUAGUGGAACAGAGAUCAAGCUGCCAUUUCAGAGCCUGGUGGGUUAGGCGAGUAGAGCCUGGGUGUGAGUUCUCUUUCUGUACUGAACAGCUGUCAGUAGCGCCACAACAUGCAGAGUGGUAACUACCUAAUCCAUCACGAUACAGGGGAUUUAUCAAUCAAUCAGAAAUGAAAAACAGUGCGAGCAACAACAAAAAAAGCAGUGAAAAAAAUAUUUGGGACACAAUAAUCCACAGUGCACUAGUUUGAACCAGAGCUCUAUUGGCCGUAGUUAAAAGUAGUGUACUAUAUACGGAUUAGGGUGCCAUUUGGGACAGUUUUUUUCUUUCCUAAAGAAUAUCCUGCUAUACCACAUGCUGAGGACUCCUAUCAUGAUUUAUGGCUUCGUUUCUCUCAGCCAGUCAGAUAAGUGCA
ensembl:lncRNA